rnacentral:rRNA from 1 species
GUCUGUUUGGAGUUAUAAGGAGUCUACCUGCCCACUGAUUAAGAUUAAAGGGCCGCAGUAUUAUAACUGUGCAAAGGUAGCAUAAUCAUUAGGUUCUUAAUUAGAAUCUUGAAUGAAUGGUUGGACAAAGGGAAUACUGUCUUUAUAUUAAUUUUGAAUUUAACUUUUGAGUGAAAAGGCUUAAAUAUUCUAAAGGGACGAUAAGACCCUAUAAAACUUUAUAUUAAGAUUGAAUUUUAGUUAAAUUUAAUUAUAAAAAUUUAAUUUAAUUAUUUGUUAUGUUGGGGAGAUAUAGGUAAAAUUUUUGUUAACUGCUUAUUGAUUAGACAUUUACGGAUGGGUAGUAAUAGAUCCUUGUUAAAGAUUAUUGAAUUAAGUUACUUUAGGGAUAACAGCGUUAUUUUUUUUGAGAGUUCAUAUCGAAAAAAAAGGUUGCGACCUCGAUGUUGAAUUAAAAUAUCUAUAUAAUGAAGCGGUUGUAUAGGAAGGUCUGUUCGACCUUUAAAAUUUUACAUGAUUUGAGUUCAAACCGGCGUGA